rnacentral:tRNA from 1 species
GACGGGUAGCUCAGUGGUAGAGUGCUCGCUUCACAGCGAGAAGUCCAGGGUUUGAUUCCCUGCCCGUGCA